AGGUGCCUGGUUAUGUUUUCCCAGGGUAAAGGUGCCCCAGUUAUCCCCGGGGUAAGGGUACGUGGUUAUGUUACCCCGGGGUAAAGGUGCCUUGGUUCUCCCCAAGGUAAAAGCACCCAGUUAGCCUGGGGUAAGGCUGCCCCAGGCUGGGAGCUUGUGUUCCCUUCCUUGUUUCUAAAGCCCAUUAAAUAAGCAAAGAGGAGGAGCUACAGACAUGUAAACUGUUUUGUAUCCAUCCUACCAAGUUGUUGUGCUUACUUACCACUUUAGGAGUGUCUUCCUAGAGAGAAGUGGUUAACUGGACUAGUCUGGAGUCAGUGUAGAUAUGCCCAUGUACAGACUAACUGAAUACACGUAUAUCUAGAGAGAGAGAGAGAGUACAAACUUUCACAAGCCGGAGCUCACUUCCUGAUGCUCAGUUCUUCACCUAGUACAACCUUUUUAUGCUGGCAGCCCCCGUUUCUGAGUUUGGUUUUCCCUGAAACUGCAGGCUGAAAGUAUCUCCCUCUGAUUGCUCAUCAUGUGUACAAGGGUGUGCCCAUUUCAAUCACCCUGAUGUUAAUCUCUGCCUGUCAGAGGUCACAAAGUAAAAUUGGAAGAAGUUUGGCAGGAGCCUCUGCGAACUGAGGGCACAACGUUUCACACAGUUUCCCUUGAUGUGGCUGCUCAAAGGAAAGCGCCUUCCUCAAAAAAGGUGCGACAGGAAGGACAACCUAAGAUUUACAUUAUCUGAACACAGCUGAAGUGAAUGCUUUAAUUUAGUCACCAGCUUACACCUUCACCUCUGCUAAGGCUUUACUGUACUUGAUAUCCUGUGCUGCCUGCUACACAGAAUGAGCUCAUUUCACCCCUGGUGCAACUUCACUGCAAUCACAUCAAGAAUACCUUUGGGAGAAAGUGCACUGCAUGCAGGGACCACAAUCCUGGAUUCAGACAACUUAGGCCAAAUCAAAAUCUUUUGUCUCGGCCCUGCUGCAAGUCCCUAAAUGGGCACAAAACAUGCCUGCAGGUAUUUAAAGAGAGGGUUAGACACCCUGACCGUCCACUGAUGUCCAUAGUUCAGUACUGCAGGUUGUGCACUGGCUAGGAAGAAUGAGGUGAAAGUAAUACAGAGAAAACAGACUGAAUAUUACCAUGAUUUAUUUGUAUCACAGCUGUGUGUAGAAACUUCAGCUGGACCAGAUCCAUGUGGCACUAGGUACUACACAAACAAAAAGUAGAAACCAGUCCUGGCACCAAAUAGUAUUGUCGAAAAAUAAGCCUAUAGCAGUUUCCUGGGUAUACCAAGAGCCUGAUUCUGCAAAACCCCACAGGAGAAAACAUCCUUAUAUGAGUAAUCAAUUGUGGAAGGAAUUGGAAUCAAGCACUUUCAUUUCUAUGAAAGUUGGGGCUGUAUCAAGAUUUUGGAUGAACCUCAUAGAACAAAGUGCAAUUUAUGGGAGAUUGGCCUCCUCUUGUUGAAAUGCCUGAUCCUUGCAGAGUUUUGGAUGGAUUCUGCCACGUUUAGGACUCUUCAGCCUUGUUCAGUACAAAAGAGGAAGUUAUAGCUUGCCAUUUGAAUUGCUACACUGCCAAAGCAGCUCUCAUUUCAGUUUCUUAAUACAUUGUUUGCAACCUCCCAAAUUGCACAGAAUGAAAGGUAGUUCUCAGAAACUGAAGCCUACACUUCUGCUUUCUGUUGGACAGAUGUCAUGGAUACCUGAUGAUGUACUUACCACUUUGUAUUUUACAUCCUGAAAUAAAGCUUCUCACUUGAGCAGUU